rnacentral:rRNA from 1 species
UACGAAGGGGGCUAGCGUUGUUCGGAAUUACUGGGCGUAAAGCGCACGUAGGCGGAUCGAUCAGUCAGGGGUGAAAUCCCAGGGCUCAACCCUGGAACUGCCUUUGAUACUGUCGAUCUGGAGUAUGGAAGAGGUGAGUGGAAUUCCGAGUGUAGAGGUGAAAUUCGUAGAUAUUGGGAAGAACACCGGUGGCGAAGGCGGCUCACUGGCUCAUUACUGACGCUCAGGCGCGAUAGCGUGGGGAUCAAACAGG